rnacentral:rRNA from 1 species
UACAGAGGUCUCAAGCGUUGUUCGGAUUCAUUGGGCGUAAAGGGUGCGUAGGUGGCGAGUCAAGUCGGAUGUGAAAUCCCGGGGCUCAACCCCGGAACUGCAUUCGAUACUGCCUUGCUAGAGUACUGGAGAGGAGAUUGGAAUUUACGGUGUAGCAGUGAAAUGCGUAGAUAUCGUAAGGAAGACCAGUGGCGAAGGCGGAUCUCUGGACAGUUACUGACACUGAGGCACGAAGGCCAGGGGAGCAAACGGG